CCUACGGGAGACAGCAGUGAGGAAUAUUGGUCAAUGGGCUUACGCCUGAACCAGCCAAGUCGCGUGAGGGAAGACUGCCCUAUGGGUUGUAAACCUCUUUUGUCAGGGAGCAACGCCGGCUACGUGUAGCCGUACUGAGAGUACCUGAAGAAAAAGCAUCGGCUAACUCCGUGCCAGCAGCCGCGGUAAUACGGAGGAUGCGGGCGUUAUCCGGAUUUAUUGGGUUUAAAGGGUGCGUAGGCGGAAUGCCAAGUCAGCGGUAAAAUCGCGGGGCUCAACCUCGCUCCGCCGUUGAAACUGGCGUUCUUGAGUGGGCGAGAAGUAUGCGGAAUGCGUGGUGUAGCGGUGAAAUGCAUAGAUAUCACGCAGAACUCCGAUUGCGAAGGCAGCAUACCGGCGCCCAACUGACGCUGAAGCACGAAAGCGUGGGUAUCGAACAGGAUUAGAUACCCCGGUAGUC
rnacentral:rRNA from 1 species